GACGAACGCGGCGGCGUGCCUAAUACAUGCAAGUAGAACGCUGAAGGAGGAGCUUGCUUCUCCGGAUGAGUUGCGAACGGGUGAGUAACGCGUAGGUAACCUGCCUGGUAGCGGGGGAUAACUAUUGGAAACGAUAGCUAAUACCGCAUAACAGUAGAUAUUGCAUGAUAUCUGCUUGAAAGGUGCAAUUGCAUCACUACCAGAUGGACCUGCGUUGUAUUAGCUAGUUGGUGGGGUAACGGCUCACCAAGGCGACGAUACAUAGCCGACCUGAGAGGGUGAUCGGCCACACUGGGACUGAGACACGGCCCAGACUCCUACGGGAGGCAGCAGUAGGGAAUCUUCGGCAAUGGACGGAAGUCUGACCGAGCAACGCCGCGUGAGUGAAGAAGGUUUUCGGAUCGUAAAGCUCUGUUGUAAGAGAAGAACGAGUGUGAGAGUGGAAAGUUCACACUGUGACGGUAUCUUACCAGAAAGGGACGGCUAACUACGUGCCAGCAGCCGCGGUAAUACGUAGGUCCCGAGCGUUGUCCGGAUUUAUUGGGCGUAAAGCGAGCGCAGGCGGUUAGAUAAGUCUGAAGUUAAAGGCUGUGGCUUAACCAUAGUACGCUUUGGAAACUGUUUAACUUGAGUGCAAGAGGGGAGAGUGGAAUUCCAUGUGUAGCGGUGAAAUGCGUAGAUAUAUGGAGGAACACCGGUGGCGAAAGCGGCUCUCUGGCUUGUAACUGACGCUGAGGCCCGAAAGCGUGGGGAGCAAACAGG
rnacentral:rRNA from 1 species